AUUGAACGCUGGCGGCAGGCUUAACACAUGCAAGUCGAGCGAGCGGCGGACGGGUGAGUAAUGUCUGGGAAACUGACUGAUGGAGGGGGAUAACUACUGGAAACGGUAGCUAAUACCGCAUACCAUCAGAUGUGCCCAGAUGGGAUUGGCUAGUAGGUGGGGUAAUGGCUCACCUAGGCGACGAUCCCUAGCUGGUCUGAGAGGAUGACCAGCCACACUGAAACUGAGACCCGGUCCAGACUCCUACGUGAGGCAGCAGUGGGGAAUAUUGACCAAUGGGGGCAGGCCUGAUGCUGCCAUGCCGCGUGUGUGAAGAAGGCCUUCGGGUUGUCAAGCACUUUCAGCGAGGAGGCGUUACUCGCAGAAGGCGCACCGUCUGACACCGUGCGAGCAGCGGCGGUAAUAC
rnacentral:rRNA from 1 species